CGCAAACAUCAUGCACCAGCCUUAAAACAUCCUAAAGGCAAAAAAUGAUAACCCUCAAAUAGUUCAUCCACAAUCUAGAGGCAAGAACAAAUUUGUAAAAAGCAGUGCUUUGACACAUUCUUCAAUCUAUUUUUUUUUUCAAAAUUUUCCAUGUUAGAUGUGCAAUAUUUUCUUGGAAUUAAAGAACAAAAUUCAAUAGGAAAAACAUGAACAUGGCAUCAUCAUCUAGCAGAGAAAACAUGAACAAGUCCUUAGAUAGGCCUUUUAGUAGUUUGAAUUUUUUUUCUCAGUGGGUUGUUUCAACAUCUUAUUCCCUCCAUGACUAUACUGCAGAUGCUCCAUUUUAG
rnacentral:misc_RNA from 1 species